rnacentral:lncRNA from 1 species
GUCCGCUGCACUGCCCCCUCCAUCUACCCUGUCCCAGCUGUCCCCUCCUGUGGUUGUCUUUAUUGAGGGGACUAUAUGCUGCUGCCUUUUCACAGUGCCCACGUAGCAGGCGCUUUAUAAAUGUUAGUCACUUAGUUAUUAUUACUUCUAUCAUUAACCCAAGCAGAGCCACCCUGAACAAAGUUCCAGAGUCAAAUUUGUCCUAUUAAAUGUAGGCCAUUUUAUUGUUAUUUUAAACAUAAAACUCAUGUCUGUUGCCAGUUGCAAAGGCAACUAGACUGGAUCCAGAUCCCCAUCGUGGGGUCCUCGUGAAAGGCCUAAGCCUCCUCAUCUCCCCACGACCCCCACCAGCUAGGCUGGGGAGAAGGCUGGGCGGGGUGCCAGGCCCCCCCGAAAUGGUGGCAGGUCCCAGAGCCGGGUCAGGAGGCUGGUGGCAAUGGCGCACUAGAGGCCCCUCCCGUGCGGCUCCUCGGAGAAAGCCCAGAACCGCCAUGGAGAAUCUGCCAAGAAAGAGUCCUGGUGUCUUAAGAAAAUGCUGAUGAUUCAAAUGAAGCUGAAGAGAGCUUGUGCCUACAUUUCCUGCCCUGUCCCAUCCCCUGUUUUCACACAUUUACCAACUCAUCCUCAGGUAUAAACCAUCCAUCUACACGUGGAAGAUUGGAGCAGGGGAAAUUGUCCUCUUUGAAAGUCUGACGGUUUGGGUUUGAGUCUUAAAUGUGUUACUUACUUUACUGUGACCUUGGGUAAAUCACUUUUUGAGUGAUUUUGAGUUUGAGCCUUGGUCACCUCAUCCUUGAAAUGAAGUGGUUGGACUAGAUGUAAAGUGCUAAGAGGAAGGACUGUCAUUUUUGUCUUUUUAUUCCCAGCAUAUAGCCAAUCAUUCAAUCAAUCAACAUCAAAUAAGUGCCUACUAUGUACCAAGGCACUGUGCAAAGCACUGGGGCUACAGCAAAAAGGCAAAAGACAGUCCCUGCCUUUAAUGACCUCAUAAUAUAAUUGGGAGAUACCAUGCAAACAAAUAAAUACAAAGCAAUCUACA